UUGCUGCCCGAUUUCCCACUUCCCCAAUAUGAAUGGAUCCGCUGAGCAACUGAUUUUGAUGAUAAUUAAAUGCUAAUUUAAGGCCCAAAACUGACACUUCACCUCCCUUUUUUCCAACAGUAGAACUGGCCAGAAAAAUUUGGCCAUGCAAAGCAAACAUCUAUGCAAGAGUCUAGGUCAAUGACUUCACCAAACUACACUUUCUAUGCUUCAGAGACUUUGAAACAACAAGCCAGUAACAAAAAUUUAUUUCAUGGCCCUAUCAUAUGUUUUUCCCAGUCUAAUAAGAUGGCCAAAGGUUAAAUCCAUAUAAAUGUUUCAAUGUGGUGGCCUAUCUCAAUAGGCAAACCUUUGGUACUAUACUUGCUUUGAUAUUAUGAUGGCACUCCCAAUCCUCCACCUAAACAAUUCUAAGCACACUAAAUGCUCCUAUUCUAGCUUUUGAUACCAUGUAUCUUUCUAAAUUACCUUUAAGUUAGCUAAAUAAAGACUCCUUCAAUCUUGGUGCUUUUCAGAUAUAAAUGUCAUUUAAUCUAGUCAAAGAGACACUAAUGAAUCAGCCUUCAGUUAUGAUUUUAGGUAGUAAAUAAGCACUAUUUCGAACAAGUUAUAGGCUAUCUUGACUCCUACUAUCAUAUAAGAUUAACACUUGCCCAAUUCCACACCCAAGUCCUAUCAUUCUAAUUUGUAGAUGUACAGUUCAAUUAUGUAUCCUUAUUCAAAAGGCAAACUACUCUCCUUUACCUAUGUUGCAUCAUUGGUUCUGUCGAAAACAACUUAGCUU
rnacentral:lncRNA from 1 species